rnacentral:rRNA from 1 species
GAUGAACGCUAGCGGCAGGCCUAAUACAUGCAAGUCGAACGGUGUCUUCGGACAUAGUGGCGCACGGGUGCGUAACACGUAUGCAACCUACCUUACAUUGGGGGAUAGCCUUUCGAAAGGGAGAUUAAUACCGCAUAAGACAGUAGCUGGGCAUCCAGCAGCUGUUAAAGAUUUAUCGAUGUAAGCUGGGCAUGCGUCCAAUUAGCUAGUUGGUGAGGUAACGGCUCACCAAGGCAAUGAUUGGUAGGGGAACUGAGAGGUCAAUCCCCCACACUGGCACUGAGAUACGGGCCAGACUCCUACGGGAGGCAGCAGUAGGGAAUAUUGGGCAAUGGACGCAAGUCUGACCCAGCCAUGCCGCGUGCAGGAUGAAGGCGUUAUGCGUUGUAAACUGCUUUUAUACAGGAAGAAACGACUCUUGCGAGAGGCAUUGACGGUACUGUAUGAAUAAGCACCGGCUAACUCCGUGCCAGCCGCCGCAGUAAUAC